rnacentral:rRNA from 1 species
CUUUGAACGCAAGUUGCGCCCAAGGCCAUCAGGCUUAGGGCACGUCUGCCUGGGUGUCA